rnacentral:rRNA from 1 species
GACGUAGGAUGCAAGCGUUGUCCGGAUUUAUUGGGCGUAAAGAGUUCGUAGGCGGUUUGUUAAGUCUGAUGUUAAAGACUGGGGCUCAACCUCGGGAGUGCAUUGGAUACUGGCAGACUCGAGUGCAGUAGAGGCAAGCGGAAUUCCAGGUGUAGCGGUGAAAUGCGUAGAUAUCUGGAAGAACACCGGUGGCGCAAGCGGCUUGCUGGGCUGUAACUGACGCUGAGGAACGAAAGCUAGGGUAGCGAAUGGG